rnacentral:rRNA from 1 species
AUUGAACGCUGGCGGCAUGCUUUACACAUGCAAGUCGAACGGUAACAGACCGCAAGGUGCUGACGAGUGGCGAACGGGUGAGUAAUGCAUCGGAACGUGCCCAGUCGUGGGGGAUAACGCAGCGAAAGCUGCGCUAAUACCGCAUACGAUCUCUGGAUGAAAGCGGGGGACCGAAAGGCCUCGCGCGAUUGGAGCGGCCGAUGUCAGAUUAGGUAGUUGGUGGGGUAAAGGCCCACCAAGCCAACGAACUGUAGCUGGUCGGAGAGGACGACCAGCCACACUGGGACUGAGACACGGCCCCGACGCCUACGGGAGGCAGCAGUGGGGAAUUUUGGACAAUGUGCGCAAGCCUGAUCCAGCAAUGCCGCGUGCAGGAAGAAGGCCUUCGGGUUGUAAACUGCUUUUGUACGGAACGAAACGGUCCGGGCUAAUACCCUGGGCUAAUGACGGUACCGUAAGAAUAAGCACCGGCUAACUACGUGCCAGCAGCCGCCGUAACAC